GCCGAAGUGGCUCAGCCUGGUUUAGAGCGCUAGACUCAUAAUCUAGAGGUCGUGGGUCCGAAUGCAAUGGAUGUAAUAUUUGCCACUGCUGGAAAUCCCACCUUCGGCA
rnacentral:tRNA from 1 species